GACGAACGCUGGCGGCGUGCUUAACACAUGCAAGUCGAACGGAAAGGCCCUGCUUUUGUGGGGUGCUCGAGUUGCGAACUGGUGAGUAACACGUGAGUAACCUGCCCUUGACUUUGGGAUAACUUCAGGAAACUUGGUCUAAUACCGGAUAGGAUCUCCUGCUUCUUGGUGGGGGUUGGAAAGUUUCGGCGGUUGGGGAUGGACUCGCGUCUUAUCAGCUUGUUGGUGGGGUAGUGGCUUACCAAGGCUUUGACGGGUAGCCGGCCUGAGAGGGUGACCGGCCACAUUGGGACUGAGAUACGGCACAGACUCCUACGGGAGGCAGCAGUGGGGAAUAUUGCACAAUGGGCGGAAGCCUGAUGCAGCAAAGCCGCGUGCGGGAUGACGGCCUUCGGGUUGUAAACCGAUUUCGCCUGUGACGAAGCGUGAGUGACGGUAAUGGGUAAAGAAGCACCAGCUAACUACGUG
rnacentral:rRNA from 1 species